rnacentral:rRNA from 1 species
GGCUCGAGGACGAACGCUGGCGGCGUGCCUAACACAUGCAAGUCGAACGGAAUCCAUCGACUGAUCCCUUCGGGGUGACGUUGAGAAGAUUUAGUGGCGGACGGGUGAGUAACACGUGAGCAACCUGCCUUUCAGUGGGGGACAACAGUUGGAAACGACUGCUAAUACCGCAUAAUGUACUAUAGGGGCAUCCCUUAAGUACCAAAGCUUUAUGUGCUGAAAGAUGGCCUCGCGUCUGAUUAGCUAGUUGGUGAGGUAAUGGCUCACCAAGGCGACGAUCAGUAGCCGGCCUGAGAGGGUGAUCGGCCACAUUGGGACUGAGACACGGCCCAAACUCCUACGGGAGGCAGCAGUGGGGAAUAUUGCACAAUGGGGGAAACCCUGAUGCAGCAACGCCGCGUGAAGGAUGACGUAUUUCGGUAUGUAAACUUCUAUCAGCAAGGAAGAUGAUGACGGUACUUGACUAAGAAGCCCCGGCUAACUACGUG